UACGUAGGGGGCAAGCGUUGUCCGGAAUCAUUGGGCGUAAAGAGCGUGUAGGCGGCCCGGUAAGUCCGCUGUGAAAGUCCAGGGCUCAACCCUGGGAUGCCGGUGGAUACUGUCGGGCUCGAGUCCGGAAGAGGAGUGUGGAAUUCCUGGUGUAGCGGUGAAAUGCGCAGAUAUCAGGAGGAACACCAAUGGCGAAGGCAGCUCGCUGGGACGGUACUGACGCUGAGGCGCGAAAGCAUGGGGAGCGAACAGG
rnacentral:rRNA from 1 species